GACGUAGGUGGCGAACGUUAUCCGGAAUUAUUGGGCGUAAAGGGCGCGUAGGCGGUAUGGCAAGUGGAAGGUGAAAUCCCUCGGCUUAACCGAGGAACUGCCCUCCAAACUGCUUUACUUGAGGCCGGGAGAGGUGAGUGGAAUUCCCGAGUGUAGAGGUGAAAUUCGUAGAUAUUGGGAAGAACACCGGUGGCGAAGGCGGCGACCUGGUCCAUUACUGACGCUGAGGCGCGACAGCGUGGGGAGCAAACAGG
rnacentral:rRNA from 1 species